rnacentral:rRNA from 1 species
UACAGAGGGUGCGAGCGUUGUUCGGAAUUACUGGGCGUAAAGCGCGCGCAGGCGGCCCUUUAAGUCUGUCGGUCAAACGCCGGGGCUCAACCCCGGACUUGCAGUGGGUACGGGCAGACUAGAGUGUGGUAGGGGAGACUGGAAUUCCUGGUGUAGCGGUGAAAUGCGCAGAUAUCAGGAGGAACACCGGUGGCGAAGGCGGGUCUCUGGGCCGAUACUGACGCUGAGGAGCGAAAGCGUGGGGAGCGAACAGG